rnacentral:rRNA from 1 species
AUUGAACGCUGGCGGCAGGCCUAACACAUGCAAGUCGAGCGGAUGAAGGUAGCUUGCUACCUGAUUCAGCGGCGGACGGGUGAGUAAUGCCUAGGAAUCUGCCUGGUAGUGGUGGACAACGUUACGAAAGGAACGCUAAGACCGCAUACGUCCUACGGGAGAAAGUGGGGGAUCUUCGGACCCCACGCUAUCAGAUGAGCCUAGGUACGAUUAGCUAGUUGGUGAGGUAAAGGCUCACCAAGGCGACGAUCGUUAACUGGUCUGAGAGGAUGAUCAGUCACACUGGAACUGAGACACGGUCCAGACUCCUACGGGAGGCAGCAGUGGGGAAUAUUGGACAAUGGGCGAAAGCCUGAUCCAGCCAUGCCGCGUGUGUGAAGAAGGUCUUCGGAUUGUAAAGCACUUUAAGUUGGGAGGAAGGGCAGUAAGUUAAUACCUUGCUGUUUUGACGUUACCGACAGAAUAAGCACCGGCUAACUUCGUGCCAGCAGCCGCAGUAACAC